rnacentral:rRNA from 1 species
UGGGGAAUCUUGGACAAUGGGCGAAAGCCUGAUCCAGCCAUGCCGCGUGAGUGACGAAGGUCUUCGGAUUGUAAAGCUCUUUUGGCGGGGAAGAUAAUGACGGUACCCGCAGAAUAAGCCCCGGCUAACUUCGUGCCAGCAGCCGCGGUAAUACGAAGGGGGCUAGCGUUGUUCGGAAUCACUGGGCGUAAAGCGCACGUAGGCGGAUUUACCAGUCAGGGGUGAAAUCCCGGGGCUCAACCUCGGAACUGCCUCUGAUACAGUAAGUCUAGAGUCCGGGAGAGGUGAGUGGAAUUCCUAGUGUAGAGGUGAAAUUCGUAGAUAUUAGGAGGAACACCAGUGGCGAAGGCGGCUCACUGGCCCGGUACUGACGCUGAGGUGCGAAAGCGUGGGGAGCAAACAGGAUUAGAUACC